rfam:Aureimonas sp. Leaf324 contig_1, whole genome shotgun sequence.
CCCUUUCGCGACGGCCCAUCCUCCUCCCAAAGGGCCCGAGCGGAUCCAAGCCUGCGAUCUUCUCCUCCCAUUCGCAGGCUUCAUCCCGACACCCGCCGGUCCUCCCCCGGCGGGUGUCGUCG